CAAAAAUCUUUCACAAAACAUCCGUUCGCAUAAUAAGUUGUUAAAUACAAAUCUACUUAGUGAAAAUACUAACAUUGAUUUUGUUAACACUAUCCAUUCUUUAAAUAAUAAUAACUGCGGGGUUAUUGUUUCUGAAUUUGAAAACAAAAAAGCUCAU